GAUGAACGCUGGCGGCGUGCCUAAUACAUGCAAGUCGAGCGAACAGAUGAGGAGCUUGCUCCUCUGACGUUAGCGGCGGACGGGUGAGUAACACGUGGAUAACCUACCUAUAAGACUGGGAUAACUUCGGGAAACCGGAGCUAAUCCCGGAUAAUAUAUUGAACCGCAUGGUUCAAUAGUGAAAGACGGUUUUGCUGUCACUUAUAGAUGGAUCCGCGCCGCAUUAGCUAGUUGGUAAGGUAACGGCUUACCAAGGCAACGAUGCGUAGCCGACCUGAGAGGGUGAUCGGCCACACUGGAACGGAGACACGGUCCAGGCUCCUACGGGAGGCAGCAGUAGGGAAUCUUCCGCAAUGGGCGAAAGCCUGACGGAGCAACGCCGCGUGAGUGAUGAAGGUCUUCGGAUCGUAAAACUCUGUUAUGAGGGAAGAACAAAUGUGUAAGUAACUAUGCACGUCUUGACGGUACCUAAUCAGAAAGCCACGGCUAACUACGUG
rnacentral:rRNA from 1 species